rnacentral:rRNA from 1 species
UGCGUAGGCGGAUAUUUAAGUCAGAUGUGAAAUUCCCGGGCUCAACCUGGGCGCUGCAUUUGAUACUGGAUAUCUAGAGUGCAGGAGAGGAAAGCGGAAUUCCUAGUGUAGCGGUGAAAUGCGUAGAGAUUAGGAAGAACACCAGUGGCGAAGGCGGCUUUCUGGACUGUAACUGACGCUGAGGCACGAAAGCGUGGGGAGCGAACA